CCUGGGAUAUGCUCCUGCGGCUGGAGAUGGGCAGUAUGGGCUAACAAGGUUUGAACAGCCACAGCGAACUGGUCCAUGCGAUGGUCCAGCUCCUCAAACCGGUUAUCAGGAACCGGCCCAUGAGGGUUAACACCUGCAGGGUCCAUGGCCCUAGUGUAAUGUCACGACAGUGACCCCUUCACGCAGAGAGUAACCCAGAAAGAGACGUAUACCGGACCUUAGGGUGGC